UACAUAGGGGGCUAGCGUUGUCCGGAAUUACUGGGCGUAAAGCGCACGUAGGCGGAUUGUUAAGUCAGGGGUGAAAUCCCGAGGCUCAACCUCGGAACUGCCUUUGAUACUGGCAAUCUCGAGUCCGGAAGAGGUGAGUGGAAUUCCUAGUGUAGAGGUGAAAUUCGUAGAUAUUAGGAAGAACACCAGUGGCGAAGGCGGCUCACUGGUCCGGUACUGACGCUGAGGUGCGAAAGCGUGGGGAGCAAACAGG
rnacentral:rRNA from 1 species